rnacentral:lncRNA from 1 species
GGGGAGAUGGAAAAAAAGCAUGACUUCAACAAGGGCAGAAUGUGGGUGCUGGAUUCUGGCAAUGCCACUGAGAAGCCACUUCCAAGCAACAUAGAGAAAGUCGGCCCCAGGAUGCUUCCUGCCUAUUUUCCAGCCGAGAGAGAGAAGGGACCUUCCUGGCCCAAGAGAAGCAGUCUCUCUUCUAAAGAGCAAAGAGCUCUGUGUCAGAAGAGCCCAGCAAAAAUUUGGCCAGAACACAGUCCACAGCCAACCAAGAGGUAUUUUUUAAGGUAACUGAGAGUGGAGAAAAUUGGGUAAAACCCAGUCAUCCCUUUUCUGGUGGCAGUGAGAUCAUCUAAAGGAGAAUCGGCUGGAGAAGGGGUGUUCCUAUGGCCAGGAUCCCAGAGGCUUUGUUACUUGGUUUGGCUAGAAGCCAAAGAUUUUCUGGUUUUGUGGAUGGUUGAGGUGCAAGCAAGCUCUCAGAAGACAAGGAGAGAGCUCAAGUUCAAGAACGCGUAACUACAGUCCCCUUUUUUGUUUGUUUCUGCCUCUGGUGACAUUGCUAACAAUAUGUAAGCUUUUCGGGUUAGGAGUUCCAUUAGGAUCUUAACUAUGCCAUUUACUGGCAAUGUAUUCACAUUAAUUCAGUAUCUCUCUAGGCCUUUGUUUCCCCAUCUGAAAGCAAGGCUCCUUAAAGUAAGGCUCCUUAAAGUCUAUAAUACUGUAAACUUCAACAAAUGAAAUGAAUUUAAAAAUAUGAAGCCUGCUUAGCCAAGAUGGCAAUUUACACAGGAUCUCUUAGUAUCUCCUAAGAUACUUUGCUAAUACCUGGAGGAUGCUUGAGAUACAGGAGCAGCCAAGGAGUAAGCUGACAGUUUUCAGGAGUAUUUACAAGAUUGAGGAAGAAACUUAUAGAUUAAAUUUUUGUGGGGACCCAAUAUUUAUUUCCAUGUACUUCUUUAGCCCUUGCUCACAAUUACUGUGUGACAUCCACACCAACAUCCUUCAGGGAUGCAUUACCCAAUAGUUCAUACAAUCUGUCCAAACUUCUAAACCUAUCUAUUUUGUACUCAGUAUUGAUCCCUUAAAUUACUUUUCCUUUAGGAUCUCAAUUCAUUAAUCCAGAAAGUGAACAUACAGUAUAAAUAACAUUAAUAGCCACUCCUGGGUUAAUAUCUUAUUAUUUGAAGGUUAUGUUGAGAAGCUGCUCUAUGCAACUUACUAAAGAAAAAAAAAGUGAAACAAUAUUUAGACUUUGACUUCAAAGGAGCUCCCAUUAUGUUUCAAUUUGAAAGGACCCAGGAGCUACAAAGAAAUUAGGGACCUAAGGCAAAGUAAUUGAGUAGUUAAGCAAAUAAAGUGCAAUACUUUUUCAAAAAUUAGAGUUUCAAUAAAACUCCAGAAUUUGCCAGUUUUAAUUUUAUUCAUUCUUAAUAUCCUGUGUUUUGAAUGAGAAAAUUAAUCUAGGCUGUCCAAUUGAUUUGCAUUGCAAAUCAUCUUUUGUGCCUUAGAAGACAGAUUUUACUAAAGGCAAAUGGAUGGUUUGGCGGUGAUUUCUUGGAUAUGACACCAAAAGCAUAGGCAAAAAAAAAAAAAGUAAAAAUAGCUAAAUUGGACUACCUCAAAAUGAAGAACUUCUGUGCAUCCAAAGAUAUAAUCAAUAGAGAGAAGAGAGAGAAGGCAACUCACAGAAUGGAAGAAAAUAUCUGCAAAUCAUGUAUUUGACAAGGGGCUCAUAUCCAAAAUAUAUAAAAAACUCCUACAACACAACACAACAAAAAAAAAUGAAAAACCAGACCAAAGAACAAUAGAAGACUAGAAUAGGCAGUUUUCUCCAAAAAUGAGCAAAUGACCAAAAUGCACAUAAAAAGACUCUCUAUAUCAUUAAUCAUUAGGGAAUACAAAUCAAAACCACAUUGAAUUAUAUCACCUUAUAACAAUUAGAAUGGCUACAAAAUUAAAAACAAACAAACAAAAGUAAAACAAUGAGUACUGGCAAGGAUGUAGAAAAAUUGGAACACUUGUAUACUGUUAGUGGGCAUAUAGAAUGAUGUAACCACUAUGGAAAACAGUAGGAUUCCUCAAAAAAUUACCAUAUGAUCUAGCAAUUUUACUUCUUGGUAUAUACCCUAAAGAAUUUAAAGCAGGGUUUUGAAGAGAUAUUUGUUCACUCCUGUUCAUGGCAGUAUUAGUCACAAUAGCCAAUGAGUGGAAGUAAUUCAAGUGUCCAUAGACAGGUGAAUAGACAAAUAUUAUGUAUGUAUUCCAUGAAUAUUGUUCAGCCCUGAAAAGAAAUUUCACUCAUGCAAUAACAUGGAUGAAUUUUGAGGAUAUUAAAGAGGACUUUUUCUAUAAAAUAUGCUAGUUAUGAAAAGUCAUAAACAGUCAUGAAAGGAUAUAUACUUCCAAGUAAUUCCUUUUAUAUGAAGUAGUCAUAGUUGUCAAAUUUAUAGAGACAGAAAGUAGAAUGGUGGUAUCCAGGGGUUGUCCAAGGGGUUGGGGAGAUAGGGUACAGAGAUUUUUUUGUUUGUUUGUUUGUUCUGUAUGUACACGGAUUUAGUUUUGCAUAGUGAAAAGAAAAAUAAACAUGGAUGGUAUCACAACAAUGGGAAUAUACUUAGUGCCACUAAAUUUGUUCAUUUAAAAAUAGUUAGAUGGAAAUCAAAAGCCAAAUGUUCUCUCUCAUAUAGUAACACAAUCAGGGUUGGGUGGAGGAGAAGGGAAGAAUAGAAGUUAACUGGAUUACACAACGGCAAUGAAGGGAAGGGAAGGGAGAUGGGAAUAGGAAAGACAGUAGAAUUAAUUGGACAUAAUUCUCCUAUGUUCGUAUACGAAUACACCACCAGUGUAACUCUACAUCAUGAACAAUGGCAAGAACGGAAAGUUAUAUUCCAUGUAUGUCUAAUAUGUCAAAAGGAACUCUAAUGUCGUAUAUAUCUAAAAAGAACAAUUUUUUAAACAAAAAAAUACUCUUACAGGAAAGAGGUGAAAUAAAUUUUGAGUAGGUAACCCAGAGAUGCUGCCUAACUUUUUAUCUUUCAAUAUACAUUCAUCUCAUCUUCUUGGGGAUGGUUGUUACCCCUGUAAUUCAGAGCAUCACUAGAACUUAAACAUUGUAAAGGACACCAACUACAAGAAGGCCAUCUUAUUGCAUCUUGAGUGAGAGCCAAUGGGC